UGUUGUUCUGCGGAGGGUCAGGGGUCUUGGGCGGCCUUUUGUAUGCUGGUUUCUUGUGUUGCUUCCUUGGGAGUUCCUUCAUUGACUUGGAGUUUCCCAAAGUUUCUGGUGUUGGUUCAUGGAUGGGCGCAUCCUGCGUUGUGGGUCGUGUUGCGUGGGUGUGGUUUUCCGGUCUGCUUGUUGUUCUUCUCGAGCUCCUGAUUUGCAUUUCUUUCCAUAUUUUUUUUAGCGAUGGAUGGGUUAUAUCCAUGGUUCGCGGCAAUCUUGACAGUGUUUUGUAUUUCCUGUUGUAGGGUUUCAUCCAUACUGCAAUGUGUCUUGGCUCUUUGCAGGAGAGACCUUGUAGGGGCCUUUUUAUGUGUCCAUUUAUCGUUGGACCACUGGGGGAUGGUUGGCGUUGUUCCUGUUGGUUUUCUGUGGGCCUUCAUUGGAGGGG
rnacentral:lncRNA from 1 species